UCUGUGACACAGGUAAAUCAGGUUUUACCAAAAUUAAAAAUAGAUUUUCAAAUAAAUUCAAUAUUUUGUCAUACUGGAUACUAACAUUAGCGAUAAGGUCUUACAAGUAACGGAACAAUUCAUAUUGCAACAUGGAACGACAACAUUGGUGCUCAACUUGUCUUAUUCCUUUUGAGAAUAAGUACAGUUUAAGAGGUCAUCGUUAUAUCCAUGCAAAACAACCACGCGUUCCUUGUAGUAUAUGUCCGUUAACAUUUGCGCAUUAUAGUCAAUUAGGAAAACAUCUCAGAUAUAUGCAUUCAGAUUAUAUCAUCAACACGUUUGUUGAACAUGCUGAGAGUAUUUAUAGAAAAAAUAUAACAGGCAUCACACCUUGGAUAGAAUCUGAUUCUGAAUGGGCAGACAGUUCCGAAGAAGAGACUAUAACGAGCAGUGAGGAAGAAGAUAUUUCGGAGGAUACAGAUUCUGAAAAUGUGGAAGAGACCGUUGAAAACAUUUCGAAUGAAACACAAUACAUCUUAGCAACACAUGUGAAUGAUGUUUCUGACAAUAAAAAUCAUGUAGGCGAAUUCGAUUCGAAAGGAGUCAAUACUAAACAUAUGAAUAAUUUAGUUGGACAUACUAGAAAUGUAAAGAGUUGUGGUGUUUCAUUUCUUGUCGAAUUAGAAAGGAGAAAAGCAGAUAUACAUCAUUUGAAUAUCACAAGAAACAUUUCUAAUUCAAAAGAUAAUUCUAAACGACACAUAUUACAGCAGCAUAUGGAGUCGGAGUUCCUCAGUACAGAUUACAGAGUGUCUUUUCAACGUCCUCGUGAUGAAAACACAGACCCUGAUUUAAGGGAUGAAGAUCCACCUGGAAAGACUGUACUACAAACGGAACAAAAUACACAGGCUAAUUAGAUUCGGACGUUUUUACUUUACUUGUGUUCCAUAACGGUAUUUCUGUGAUUUUGUUCACAUAACCUGAUAUAGCAUGUGCUGUUCGCAAAGGAUUUUAUCAUAUACUUAAAUAAAAAUAAAAGUUCCAGAGUAUAAUACAACCAUUACGAAACGGAUGACACUUCACAUAACAUGAUGCAAACCCCAUGGGCUGACUUGGAUAUAGAAGAGACAGAGCAAUUUGAUUAUAAGGAAAUGAUACCUAUGAUAGGCCAAGAAGGGGUUAGCGAUGAAGAAGAAUUAAUAAACAUAAAUGA